rfam:Pan troglodytes isolate Yerkes chimp pedigree #C0471 (Clint) chromosome 3, whole genome shotgun sequence.
UGGCCCAUGAAAUCAAGCGUGGGUGAGACCUGGUGCAGAACGGGAAGGCGACCCAUACUUGGUUUCAGAGGCUG